UACGAAGGGUGCAAGCGUUAAUCGGAAUUACUGGGCGUAAAGCGCGCGUAGGUGGUUUGUUAAGUUGGAUGUGAAAGCCCCGGGCUCAACCUGGGAACUGCAUCCAAAACUGGCAAGCUAGAGUACGGUAGAGGGUGGUGGAAUUUCCUGUGUAGCGGUGAAAUGCGUAGAUAUAGGAAGGAACACCAGUGGCGAAGGCGACCACCUGGACUGAUACUGACACUGAGGUGCGAAAGCGUGGGGAGCAAACAGG
rnacentral:rRNA from 1 species